rnacentral:rRNA from 1 species
AUUGAACGCUGGCGGCAGGCUUAACACAUGCAAGUCGAGCGGGGUGAUGGUGCUUGCACUAUCACUUAGCGGCGGACGGGUGAGUAAUGCUUAGGAAUCUGCCUAUUAGUGGGGGACAACAUUUCGAAAGGAAUGCUAAUACCGCAUACGUCCUACGGGAGAAAGCAGGGGAUCUUCGGACCUUGUGCUAAAUGAUGAGCCUAAGUCGGAUUAGCUAGUUGGUGGGGUAAAGGCCUACCAAGGCGACGAUCUGUAGCGGGUCUGAGAGGAUGAUCCGCCACACUGGGACUGAGACACGGCCCAGACUCCUACGGGAGGCAGCAGUGGGGAAUAUUGGACAAUGGGCGGAAGCCUGAUCCAGCCAUGCCGCGUGUGUGAAGAAGGCCUUUUGGUUGUAAAGCACUUUAAGCGAGGAGGAGGCUACUAGUACUAAUACUACUGGAUAGUGGACGUUACUCGCAGAAUAAGCACCGGCUAACUCUGUGCCAGCAGCCGCCGUAAAAC